rnacentral:rRNA from 1 species
GUGUCAGCAGCCGCGGUAAUACGUACUGUGCGAACGUUAUUCGGAAUCACUGGGCUUAAAGGGUGUGUAGGCGGCCGUUUAAGUAGGGUGUGAAAGGCCUCGGCCUAACCGAGGCAUUGCGCUCUAAACUGAUCGGCUUGAGUAAGAUAGGGGUGUGCGGAACUUCCAGUGGAGCGGUGAAAUGUGUUGAUAUUGGAAGGAACGCCGGUGGCGAAAGCGGCACACUGGGUCUUAACUGACGCUGAGACACGAAAGCCAGGGGAGCGAACGGGAUUAGAUACCCCGGUAGUCC